rnacentral:rRNA from 1 species
UACGUAGGGUGCGAGCGUUGUCCGGAAUUAUUGGGCGUAAAGGGCUCGUAGGCGGUCUGUCACGUCGGGAGUGAAAACUCAGGGCUUAACCCUGAGCCUGCUUCCGAUACGGGCAGACUAGAGGUAUGCAGGGGAGAACGGAAUUCCUGGUGUAGCGGUGAAAUGCGCAGAUAUCAGGAGGAACACCAGUGGCGAAGGCGGUGCUCUGGGCCAGUACUGACGCUGAGGAGCGAAAGCGUGGGGAGCAAACAGG